rnacentral:misc_RNA from 1 species
GCGUCCACCGUGGCUUUAUCCUCCUCCUCUGCAGCAGAUCGCGACGUCGCUUUUUAUCCUUCAUCCAAUGAGGGCUCAACUUCUACAAUGGGGAAACAUGUCUCACUGAAUGCUUAUGAAACUUCAGAUAAGGGGAAAUUCGCGCCAAGAUUUGAUGGGUUGAGGUUCAUAGAGACUCUGGUCACGGCUCAUAGAUGACCUGACAAAGCUCAUAAUCUUUUUGUUUUCUUUGUUGUCAUUUGUUGAUGUUGAGGCAAAACCCCAUUGGUUUAUAAGAUGUGAUUAAAAGAGAGCUGUUGUUGCUUAUUUUUCUUUUGAGUUUAGAAGAACUUGUGUCAUUGAUUUGUGUCAUUUUCAUAGAUUUAGGUUUUUUUUUUUUU